GGGCGAUUAACUCAGCGGUAGAGUGUUUCCCUUACAAGGAAGUGGUCACUGGUUCGAAUCCAGUAUCGCCCAC
rnacentral:tRNA from 1 species